rnacentral:rRNA from 1 species
GAUGAACGCUGGCGGCGUGCCUAACACAUGCAAGUCGAACGAAGCGCUUUUCUGGAGGUCCUCCGGGAAGGAAGGGGAAGCGACUGAGUGGCGGACGGGUGAGUAACGCGUGGGCAACCUGCCCCAUACAGGGGGACAACAGCUAGAAAUGGCUGCUAACACCGCAUAGGCGCACAGGGCCGCAUGGUCCGGUGCGGAAAACUCCGGCGGUAUGGGAUGGGCCCGCGUCUGAUUAGCCAGUUGGCGGGGUAACGGCCCACCAAAGCGACGAUCAGUAGCCGGCCUGAGAGGGCGACCGGCCACAUUGGGACUGAGACACGGCCCAA